rnacentral:rRNA from 1 species
GGUAGGACUACCCGCUGAACUUAAGCAUUA